rnacentral:pre_miRNA from 1 species
GCGGGGCCCUGACACCACUGCGGCCGCCGGCCUAAAUUACUACAACACGCCGCGCCUGGACCCGAGGGAGGACCCCUCGGGACCCGGUACGUCGUGUUGUAGUAGUUUAGCCCUGCGGUCGCGGUGGGGUCAGGUCCUUCCGC